GUAAAUAUAGUUUAACACAAAACAUUAGAUUGUGAUUCUAAAAAUAAGGGUUAAAUUCCCUUUAUUCACC
rnacentral:tRNA from 1 species